UAUAUAAAGCACCUGUGGCAACAUGACUGCCUUUUCGACUUGUCUGCUUGCUGGUUGCUACAUGCUCCUUGUACUGAGCCCCCUGUCUGCCCCUCUGCCUCGGGUGAGCUGGUGUCUGGUUUGAUAAGGUUUGUUUCUUUCAAAGAUUCUUAAUUGCUGAGAUGUGGAACUAUUGUAAAGGAUUCAUUUUAUCUCUUGUAUUUAGUCUGUUAUCCUGCUGGUCCUUUGCUUGAGGCGUCUUUGGUAGCUGUCCCCUUUGUGUGUCAUUGUUAUAGUGAAGCCAGUUAAUGGACCUUUGUCAGCCGCAGUUUUGCCUGUGUUUAAUGUAUUUGCCUUGUUGUACUUUUAACUGAACCAACUGGUUUAUUUGUUUUCCUUGUUUAAUACUUUUAUUGCACCUGUUUGCUGUGAGUUCACAAGUGGUUGGUAAGUUGCACUCCUGGAACACACCCCUUGAUGUUAGUUUUGCUGGCACCCCUCACUUCCCCCCCUCCCAUUUUGCUAAUUUUGAAUCACAUUGGAUUGGAAGUGUCUUUUUUAAAACAAAUUUAUAUUGUAAUAAACUUUAAUGCAUCCCCCUCAA